CCCCCGCGGGGUGUGAUGAAGGUCUUCGGAUCGUAAAACUCUGUUAUUAGGGAAGAACAUAUGUGUAAGUAACUGUGCACAUCUUGACGGUACCUAAUCAGAAAGCCACGGCUAACUACGUGCCAGCAGCCGCGGUAAUACGUAGGUGGCAAGCGUUAUCCGGAAUUAUUGGGCGUAAAGCGCGCGUAGGCGGUUUUUUAAGUCUGAUGUGAAAGCCCACGGCUCAACCGUGGAGRGUCAUUGGAAACUGGAAAACUUGAGUGCAGAAGAGGAAAGUGGAAUUCCAUGUGUAGCGGUGAAAUGCGCAGAGAUAUGGAGGAACCCCAGUGGCUGCAGACGA
rnacentral:rRNA from 1 species